UUUAAUCCCAGUUAAAAACACACUGUUGGGAGUGAGGUAGUUUACUUUUUCUUCCAUCUCAGCUAGAGGCGUCCAAAGUCAUUCCAGGGAAACCGUUGGAUGCCCAGCAGUGUGCUUUGCGCUCGUGGAGACCCUGAAACAAACAUUCUUCGCACUGUGGCUUAAAUACACGACCGUACGACGUGUUUCUUGUCUGCGGUCGUAUGUGCAUGUGGGAUGGCGAGUGUGAGAGGGCUUAGACCAGGCAAAAGGCAAGUUAAUCUUUUUUCUCAUCAAAUUAGCAAGUCAGCGCAUCAACCUGUUGGCCUCACGUAGCUCGAAACUCACUAGCAGUCCAAUCUGAAUGUUUUUGGGAUCAGGGGGAAAUAUCGCAUUUCAGGAGAACUUGAGUGAAGGAGAAGCUUUUCCCCCUUCAACAGGACUGUGUCUCUCAGUUCAUCUUCAUUUCCCUUAAACAGACAUUGUCACCUGCUGGUUGGUAUGGCUGCAUUUUGCGGCCUCCGGAGCCCUGGCAAGUGGGGUCAGAGACAGUGGACAUCUCCGCUGCUCCUGGGGGAUAAAGGCAAUAGUGGGAACCCGGGAGGAGAAAAUCGCAAGGGCCGUGUCUUGGGCAGAGACAGAGACGUUGGCGGAGGACCUCCUGUCUGCGAGGUGUGGUAUGAUCCUUGAGAGGGAGAGAAGGCAGUGUGGCCUCCCCUCCACUGGACCUGGUCUCGGAGCAUCCUGCCUGGGCUCAGAGCAUCCUUCUCCUGCCCUUCCCACAGAGUGGUGAUGACCAGCCAGUGGCGCAAUCGUGGCCUUUGGAUUGCCAAACGGCGGGGGUUGAAGCCAAGGAGGUUUCAGAUGAAGUUGAGACUGCGGAGAUCGUCCUGAAGGCCACGUACAUCUGUAGAGCAGAUGGCUUCCGGGCUCUCUUCUCCACUCAGGCCCUGAUUUCCCGGCCUUCUGUGACAUUACUAUGGGGGUAUGCUUCUUCUACAGAAGUAUGUGAAAUGGAGAACAACCAAAACUUUCGGACAGAUGCUGUUCUAGAAGCUCACUUACUGAGGAGAUCAACAUCCAAUCAGCCUCAUCGCGAGCUCUGUCUAUGGGUGUUAUAGAACAGGAGGAAGCUGGGCAUGCUUUGGAUGCUCCAGAAGAUUCUACUGAGGAAUUUGGGCAAAGAACCUUUCUGGUGAGCUGAAGGUCUUCUGACUCCUCUAACGUUGACAGAGCCCCCCAGAAGGGCCAGCUUAUUUUUUAGGGGUUUUGCCUGGGACCUGGGAUGCAGGUUCCAAGGGACUUCUUACCGUCUGCAGAGGUACUUGCAGUAUUUAUUUUUGAGAGACGCAGAGAGACAGAGCAUGAGCGGGGGAGGGGCAGAGAGAGAGAAGGAGACACAGAAUCUGAAACAGGCUCCAGGCUCCCAGCUGUCAGCACAGAGCCUGAUGCGGGGCUCGAACCCACAAACUGUGAGAUCAUGACCUGAGCCGAAGUCAGGUGCUCAACCGACUGAGCCACCCAGGCGCCCCGAGGUACUUGCAUUUAAAAAAAAAUUUCCUUUUGGAAUAACUUCAGACUCAUAGGAAAGUUGAGAAAAAUAAUACAAAAGUUCCCUUUGCCCGGAGUUACCAAGUUUACAUUUUUACCACACUUGUCUUAUUAUUCUCCCUCAGUGCGUAUAGACGUAGCAGUAUUUUUACCAUCUGAGAGCAUCCUGUGGACACGAUGCCCCUUUAUCCCUACACACCUGAGUGCGUGUUUUAUAAAAGCAAGAACGUUCUCUUAUGUAACCACAGCACAGUGGUCAAAAUAAGGAAAUUAGAGCUGAUACAACAGUAUCAUCUAAUCUAUACCUCUUCUUUCUCACCAACUGUUAUCUUCAUGCUCUUUCUAGCACGUUCCAUUUUCCCCGUUGUCCCAGUGAACCCGUCUCCUUAGACUCCUUUAGCUGAAAACAGUUCCUUGGGUUUUCUUGUCCUCUAUGACCUCGACAAUUUUGAGGAGCACAGAACAUUAUUUUAUAGAAUGUCCCUCAGUCUGGGUUUUUUCUGAUGUGUCCCCCUGUGAGGACAUAAGGUUACGCAUUUUUAACCAGGAUCCUGGGAACGGGGAGUGGUU
ensembl:lncRNA